rnacentral:sRNA from 1 species
GAACUGACCACAGCGGGUCAACGGCACUGAGUAUCGGACUCUGUGUGACGGCCAAUAUUGCUUGGAGUGGCACUGUGACGGGAGGCAGCAUGAACCCAGCUCGUUCUUUGGGUCCAGCAGUAUGGUCUGGGAUAUGGGCCAACCAUUGGAUUUAUUGGGUGGCUCCCAGCGUCGGCGCCAUAGCAGCCGCCCUCCUGUACCAGCACGUGUUCUCCGUCAAGACGCAAGAGUCGGACUCCGGCCUGAGGUUCACCGACACU